ensembl:lncRNA
CGUCUCCCUCCUUUUGUUUGUCAUAAUCAGUUUCAGUAGUGUCUCUAAUUAGUUCUCUGUAUAUAUAGUCCUGCAUCUUCUGUCUUUUGUCAGUUCGUCCUGUUGGCUUCCUUCGUGUUCCAUUUCCUGUUCACCUUCCUGAGUUCUUCAUCUUCCUCUGGUUUGUACAUUCAGUUUUUGUACCUUUUGUGUUGAUUGCUUCAGUUUGUUGCUAUGGUUUUUGUUGCCUUUUUGCAAACUGGUUAAUCUUUUCCGUCUCCCCAUGCUUCGAGUUUUCUGGACCGUAGGUUUUGUAACAGCUUUUUGGAUUAAAAGAUCUUUUUUUUUGGUUUUGAAUACCUGCCUCUCGUUUCGACAUUUCACUCCUUUUCUUAUCAAUCCAUGCCAGAAUCUUUUUCUAAUACAGUCAUAUUUUAACCAUCAACCAGUGAGCCCCAACUAAACUGGUGACUCCAGCUGACAGCAGCAUCAUGGCAACGUUCGUGUCUUUAGCGACAUGUCAUCACUGUCCUGUUGCUUCCCGCCGUGGUCUCUUCUAUAGAGACUCUCUGUCGGCUCUGUCCAGGAACCUGAGGGUCCCGGGGGGCCCCAAUCGGCCCCCAGGCCUACGGUUGCAGGGCCUCAGCCUGCACAACAAACGCCACUGCAGACUCACCAGACCUGAGCUCCCAGAAUCCAUUGCUCUGGCUCACUCCAAGCCGUCGAGCAGCAUGAAGCACCUGGUCCUGGGUCACCUGAGGAGGCUGGUGACUCUGAGCCCGGCCCAGCGGCUCCGAGGCCUCCAUCUGCCGGGCUGACCUCCUGCAGGGGCAGGUGGGCUGAGAGCUGCUGGACACCAGAGGGCGCCGCAGAGGUUCACACUGAGGCUGGAGGAUAAUAUCUCCACCCUGCAUCUCCAGGAAGAGCUGCUGAAUCACUGAGCUCCACUGAGAUCAGGUUCCACGUCCGGAGGCAGGAACUCAACUGUAGAAAGAUGUUUCACCGUGCUGAAUGUAUCUCUUGCUUGCUUUCUAUGGAUACAGUUUUUGAGCCAUGCUGCAUUUAUUUAUUUGAUUGAUCCAGUUUGCUUUGUUUUCAUCUCUCUGGAAACUGAGGUUUUAAAUUCAUUCACUAGUAGUUCUGUUAUUUGGUAUGCUACUUAACCUAGUCUUAUAAGAUUAAUAACUGGUGCACUGGCUGAAAAAGUGAAUUAACUGUGUCAGUGUGGGCUUAUAAAACAGUGACUGUUGAGUAUUUUGUUAAGAAAGUGGUUAUUUUGCUUUAAAUAUCAUUAAAGUAUUAGAUAUACUUCUGCUUUGGUGUUUCAGAGGUUGAUAAAUUCUUUGUAAAUUCAGUUUAAUAUCCAAAAUAAAUCCAAAUCUGUUUCAGCC